AAUAUCUCUCGAUCGGAGAUAAGUUUGAAUAAUGAAUAUUAUUAGUGCAUUAAGGAACUUUCGUCAUUUGCCUACAGGAGGAUAUGGAUUCUUGAUUUGACUUAGUUGCCCCAGCUGAUCAAAUCUAUAUUCUUCACUACAUUGAAGAGACCUUUGUGUUACUAUUUUGAAAGAAACACUACACCAAGUAAUCCAUUUCUUCGUGGUCUCUCCAUAAUCGUUUGCAUGGAUGAGGCAAAUUCUACCUGAAAUGUGCUGUCAUUCUUCAUCAACAAGUAGUGAGUGUAAAUUUCAAUAUCCCUACUUUAAUUUGAAUCCCAUGCUGUAGACAAAGCAGUGAAGUCAAGAUGUUGAGUAUGCAAGUUCGUUUUCCAAAAACGAUAUUCAUUGAGCGUGUACACUCUCGAUAAUGUAGCUUCGGGGUAGUUACAUUUCGCCUUAUUUUUACUCUUAAACCCCUUUUUUACCUGUAUACUUAUCAACGUCUCAACAACAAUGCAAUACUUAAGGUCGUCUACUAGCCCGGAGUUUAUCCGUGUUGAACUAGUCAGUUAAAAUCCGCCCGAGUCCAAAAUCACACCCUGUUCAAUUCAUCUUUUCACCUUAUAUUCGAUUACGUGUUUCAUAUUUUCCAAUAUAAGUGUUGGAAGAAUGGAAAAAUCGAUGAGUACAGUUCUCAAUGAUUUAUUCAGACGAACAAAUGUGAAUAAAUCAAUGUGAAGUAUUUAAAAAAA